CCCGCUUCCCCAAUCUGUCCCAGCCCCUGCCUGGGUCCCUGCGAAUGCCCAGGUUCAGGUUCCAAUCCAGGCCCCCUAUUCAGUCCAGGUCGUUGGCCUGGUCCCCGUCCUCACCUCAGCCCGUAUUCCACCCCCUGUCACAAAUUCCUGCCCAGCCUUUGUCCCCACCUCAUUCCCAGCUUUUGCUUAAACCCCUGGCCCAAGCCCGACUCUGGCUCCGUUCCCCUUCACAGACCCUCCUUCCACCACACUCUCUGUCCUUGUUCAAGCCUCAGUGCUCGGCCCAGCCCAACCCCUUAUCUCAGCCUUUACCCUCAUCUCUGUGUUUGCCCUCAACUCUUCCACUGGCCCCCCGCCUCUCUCAUACUCUGCCCCUCUCCCAGCCUCGACUCAGGUCUGGGCUCCAGCUGCCGCCAGCCCUAUUGCUGCUGUUGCUGUUCUCUGUCCUUGGCCCGGGGGCUGGAGGCCUUUUCCUGACUGAUUACUCCACCUGCUCACCCCGCAAGUUAAGUCCUUUCCGCUCCUUUGCCAGCACAGAGCUCUUUCACUUCCAUGUUCCAGAGGACACGUUCCUGGCUGUGUGGAACCUCAUCAUCUUCAAGGAGCAGGGGGGAACCUUUGGAGACCACUGCCCAGACCAAAGUGUGACUGUGUAUUUCCGGUCUGGGGCACCUCCUGUCAUCAAUCCCCUGCACACCCACUUCCCAGGGGACACUGCUGUGCCUGGGGUUUUCUCACUGACCCUCAGUUGGACACUGCCUAACCGUACCUCAGGCAUCUUUAAUGUCAGCAGCCCCUUGCCAGGAGACUGGUUCUUGGCUGCUCACCUUCCUCAGGCUCAUGGCCACAUCUCUGUCAAGGGUCUCCAGGAUGAAUGUCAGUACCUCCUUCAGCCGCAACUGAUUGUCCGUCGUUUGCUGGAUGUGGCUGUGUUGGUUCCUGGCCGUCCCUCAGAGCAAACCCUCUCUUCCCACAAUCAUUCAGCCCUGUACAAGGUCUUUGUGCCCAGUUUCACUUACAGGGUUUCCGCGCAGCUGGUGUGUGUGGGGGGCCGAGGGGUGUCUGCCUGCCCCCUGACACUUCGCCUACGUCCCAAGGCCCCACCCCUGCACAACUCAAGCUCUGUGGCCUGUGGAGGUACCUCUGUGUGCCAGCUGGAGCUGGCCUUGCCACCCUGGGGGCACUGGGUCUACAUGCGAGUGGAGACACCAUCCCGGGGCCCUGGCAGGACCAUCCGCUUCCAGCUAUGUGUACGAUUGCAAGAAUGCCCACAGCCCAGUCUUUCCCGUGCCCUGGUCCCUGGAGCUGCCAUGAACAUGCCCCAGUCACUGGGGAACCAGCCACUGCCCCCAGAGCCACCAUCCCUGGGGACCUCUGUGGAGGCACCUGGGGCCACAUCUCCACCUGAGCACUGCUGGCCAGUGCGCCCAACUCUGCGCAAUGAACUGGACACCUUCUCUGUCCACUUCUACAUCUUCUUUGGCCCAAGUGUGGCCCUUCCUCCUGAGCGCCCAGCUGUGUUUGCCCUGAGGCUGUUGCCAGUACUGGACAGUGGAGGUGUCCUCAGCCUGGAGCUCCAGCUCAAUGCGAGCUCCCUGCACCAGGAAAAUGUCACAGUGUUCGGAUGCCUGACUCACGAGGUGCCCUUGAGCCUGGGGGAUGCAGCGGUGACCUGUGCCAAAGAGUCACUGGCUGGCUUCCUCCUCUCAGUCAGUGCCACCUCCAGGGUGGCGAGGCUGCGAAUCCCCUUCCCGCAGACGGGGACCUGGUUCCUGACUCUCCGCUCCCUGUGUGGGGUGGGGCCUCGGUUCGUGCGGUGCCGCAAUGCGACUGCUGAAGUGCGACUGCGCACCUUCCUGUCCCCGUGUGUAGACGACUGUGGGCCGUAUGGCCAGUGCAAGCUGCUGCGCACGCACAACUACCUGUAUGCAGCCUGCGAGUGCAAGGCUGGGUGGCGGGGCUGGGGCUGCACCGACAGUGCCGAUGCGCUCACCUAUGGCUUCCAGCUGCUGUCUACACUUUUGCUUUGCCUGAGCAACCUCAUGUUUUUGCCACCUGUGAUCCUGGCCAUUCGGAGCCGCUAUGUGCUGGAAGCUGCUGUCUACACCUUCACCAUGUUCUUCUCCACGUUCUAUCAUGCCUGUGACCAGCCAGGCAUUGUGGUUUUCUGCAUCAUGGACUACGACGUGCUGCAGUUCUGUGAUUUCCUGGGCUCAUUAAUGUCAGUGUGGGUCACUGUCAUUGCCAUGGCUCGUUUACAGCCCGUGGUCAAGCAGGUGCUGUAUUUGCUGGGGGCUAUGCUGCUGUCCAUGGCUCUGCAGCUUGACCGGCAUGGACUCUGGAACCUGCUUGGACCCAGUCUCUUCGCCCUGGGGAUCUUGGCCACAGCCUGGUACGCAGUGUCCGCCGUCGGCACUGCUACCCACCCACAUGGCGCCGCUGGCUUUUCUACCUGUGUCCAGGCAGCCUUAUUGCGGGCAGUGCCAUCCUACUGUAUGCUUUUGUGGAGACCCGGGACAACUACUUCUACAUCCAUAGCAUUUGGCAUAUGCUCAUCGCUGGCAGUGUGGGCUUCUUGCUGCCUCCUCGAUCCAAGACUGACCAUCGGGUCCCGUCUGGAGCCCGGGCCCGGGACUGUGGUUACCAACUGUGCAUCAAUGAGCAGGAGGAGCUGGGCCUUGUGGGUCCAGGAGGAACCACUGUCAGCAGCAUCUGUGCCAGCUGAGAAGGGCUUUGGCCCAGGCCCCGGGAGAUAAACCCUUGGUAGGGUUCUUCCUGGGGGUGAGGAGCCUUCCUGGGGACAAGAGACAAGCUAUAUUUCUGAAGGACUUAGAGCUUUUCUCAAGGACAUUGAAUUCUUUCAGGGACCUGGAGCCUUUCCCAGGACAUGGGAACCUACCUGUGUUCAUGGAAUCCUUCUAAGGACUGGAAGGAACUACGCAUGGCACAGAGCCCCCUCAGGACCUUCUGGGGCAUGGAGCCUUUCCCAGGGUUGUGGAGCCGUCCUACAGAUGUGAAAUACUUCCCAGGGAGACAAAAUCUUAUUAGGAACAUGGCAUUUUUCCAGAGGAAAUGGAAUCUAUCUUGGAGAAAUUGAGUCUCCAGAUUUUCCUAGAGACUCAGCAACUCUGGCCUCAGGCUUCCUUCCUGGAGGCAGCAUCUGGGCUGUUCUGUGCUGGGCACAGGGGAUUUCAGGACAGAUGGAGUUAGAACUGGGGCUUGGUGGCAGGUAUCCCGAGUUGGUACAGGUGGAGUCUGUUGUGUCUUCAGUGAAAUAUGUGCUGGUUCUGAGCUGCUUUUUCCCCCCUGGGUUAGGGUUUGGGAGAGGAAGGAAAGAAGAACCUGCGGAAAUAGCAAAGGUGAUACGAGCGUGAAAGAGCUUCUCGGAGCACUGUCUGAGGCUUCUGCCCCAUUAUGUACACACCCUCAUCUCUCUCAUCUGUUUCCUGUGUUCAUUUCCAAACCUGCCUAAUGCCUUUUCUCAAUUCCUAAAGGGCCCAGCAGUGAGAGAAACCUACAAUAACUGAGGGGGUGUGUGUGUGUGUGUGUACUCAUGUGUGAGCAUGUAUGUGUAUGGGUAUACUGAGAAGAAUUGAAGCAGUGAAACAUACCUCCCUCAUGAAGCCCAGAUACCCAGAGAAGGAAGCCAAGGUACCAGGAAAUUACACCAACAAGUAUACAUUUCAGAUUUAUAAAAAAUAUUACAAUCCUGUAACUUCUAUUUUGUGCCUCUGUUUUUCACAAGUGCCAGAAAUAAUCUUCCGUGAACUUGGGUUUCUUCUUUUUCCAUGAAGGUCAUAGCUGAGUACUGAAGAUCUUACAUAAUCUAAGAAGUUGGGGGCAUUCUCUCUGGUCAGCAGGGUCCAUACUUCACCUGUCCCCUGAGAUUUCCAUCAUUCCAUCUGAUUCUUAUUCAGCGGCCCAGACAGGCCACCUGGAUUCAAGCAGGGUUCUUCUUUCCUCUGCAUAACCCUUUCAGUCCUGAAGUUCUUCUCACCACUUCUGUAUCACAUGUGGAGGUCUGUAAGGUUUCUAAGGCCUUGGCUACUCAGACAUACCAUGAAGCCAUUUCUGCUCUGGGUUUUACUUGGAAAAAGAAGACAUAAAUUGCUCCACCUUUUUAUCCUGAGGGCCUGUGUAGGGGCUUGGCAGAGGACUCCUUCCUUUGGGACAUUGUGUUAGCACUGUUACUACAUUUCUUCCUCCUGUCCCUUCCUUCCCAAUUUGUUAAUCUGGAGGUGAGGAAACCUUACUGUUAUUUUCUCCCAAAUCUUUUAUCUGUACAUUAAGUCUUCUGAUUCUUUCGGGGCCUAGGCUGCUGAAGCUCAAAAGCCAGCAAACCGUCCCUUUAUUCCCAUUUUCUGCAGUAACGUCUCUUCUUUGGGGAACUGAGUAAAGAAGGAUGUGUCCUACUGAAUGGUGAGAAGGAGUGAAGGUGUGGACUACGUGUCUGUCCUAUAUCUGAAAUGUUGGGGCUGGGGGUUUAGCUCAGUGGUUCUGCCGCAUGCCAGGCAAGCAAAAGGUCCCGAGUUUGAUCCCUGGUACCAAAAAAAUUAAAAAAAUGAUUUGGCAGAAAUAUUAUUCCUUCACACUAAAGUGGAUAGAUCCAGGUCACUAAGAGACUUGGACUAAAAUAGCUGGGAUUCAAGACUAGAUCAGCAGAAUACAGAAGGCAGUGAAGAAGAAACAGGGCUGGGGCACAAGCUACCAAGCUAGGGGCUAUUGGAAGAUGCUUUUGAAAAAAAAAAAAAGGGGGCUUGAGAGAUUAUAUGAGUUGCUAUAGUGCCGAUUUGGGGAGAGUGUUCUCUGCGGUCACAAGUGUUCAUGUUGCAUCCCUCCCCUGAGAGUCCUGUUGUUGGACCUGGUCCUCAGUAAAGCACUUAGAACACUCAGCACAGUGCCUAGCCUGCUGCAUGCUACAUGUCCAGUACAUGAUAGCUCAAGGUCACAGCAUUUGAACAUGGGUAGAACAACAAGGGGAGACACUUACUUUAAUCAGGGAAAUGUGCAGAUUACAGGAGACCUGGGUCUGGAGGGUGUGUGUGCAGAGUUAGGUAGAUAGGAUCUGUUCUUUACCAUAUGGGGAAUACAGAGCCACUGGAGGGAUUGGAGCAGCAGGGUGUGGUGGCCAGAUUGGUAUUUUGAUGGCUGGUGUUGGGGAUGGGUUUGGGGAGAGUUGGAGGGCAGUGUAGUGAGAAAAGGUGUACCCAGUGUCAGUGGGAAGGAGGGGACUGGUUUAAGAGCUCUAGACUUAGUGGCUGAUGAAAUAGUGACAUAUAAGAGAAAGUCUAGGAUGACCACCAUGUUUCUGGCUUUGGGUGAUGGUGCCUUUCCUUGAGAUGGUGACACCACUUGGAGUUAGAGAUGUUGAGUUCAGUUUUGGAUAUUUAGAGUUUGACAUACUGGUGGGAUUCCUGGAGGUGGUAAUAAGACAGUGCUGGGCAUAGUAACUGAACCAGCCUGGAACCUUUGGUUUUCUGACUUGUCUCAUGGUAGAGAGCCCAAGAUCCAAACCAGUCCUGCCUGCCUGGGAUACAGGACUGUGGCAGCAAGUACACCUGCUCCCUGUGUGUUUCUGCAUACACAGCCACACUAAGACCCCUGACUACUUACGGCUGCCUGGAGUGUGUUCAGCAACACAGGGAUCAUUCCACAGUGGAGAUGUGAGAACUUCCAAGUGACAACUGAGUUCAGCAAAUGUGCUGUAGGGAAAGCCCUAUGGGAGCCACAGACAAGUCAGACUAUGCCAUCCUGCCCAGAAGAAGGUCUCGUGCUGGUGAAAUGUCAAGAAUGAAACUCAGGAUGAGAGAGAUGCCAAGUGAAAGGUCCUGACAAAGUACUAUAGGAUAUAAAGAGGACAAUUUCAAAGUGCAUCAGGAAAAAUUGCAUGAAAGAGAUGGUGUCUAAGCUGACUUUGAAAACUCAUCUUCCGUAUGAUCUGAGAACAGCAUGAGCAAAGACCUGGAAGUGUGGGCUGUACAGAUGUAGACAGGGGCUGGCCUGUGUGAAGGACACAGUGGAAAGUCAGGCUGAAGAAGCAGGUGAGGCCAGAUUUUGGAGGGCUUUGAGGAUCAAUGGAAGUAUUUGGACUUAAAGCUAUGGUAAUAUGAAGCUGUGCAAGAUCUUUAUCAGAAGAGUGAUUAAUCAAUUUGGGAUUUGACCAAAGUGGCAGAGCCACUGAAUGACAUAAAGAAUUUUUUAUAGAGAUUACACCUGUAUAGCCUCAGAAGCAGUGAGAGAAACCUAUGUAAAGCUGGUACCUCUGUAUUUGUUGUUGGCCUGAAGUUGGUAUGGGCCCACCAGCUUGGCAUUUGGGAAAGAAAGCUGGUUUGAGUGAGGGAGUUUAAGGGUGAAAUAGAGCCCUGGAGGCCAAGCUAGAGCGUAGGUCUAGCUCUCACUGUCUUCCAAGUUCAAUGAUACAGGUGUUCUGCAGGAGAAGUUGGCACCUUUUGCCACAAAGCUGCAUUUGGACCAGACUGAAAACAGUGAGAGAUGAUCUGGCUGGAAAUGAACAGGGUGUACUGACAGUCACAGAGUGAAGAAAACGAUGCAGAGCAGGACCCCAGCCAAACUCUGAUGGACCUGAAGCAUGAGUGAGAAACAAACCUUAAUGGUUUUAAGCCACCACUUAUAGGCAAUAUAACUUAGCCUGUGCCGGCUGAUGGGACAUUUUCCUGGAGAGCAGACCUCCCCCAAGCAGAACUGUGACAGCAGCUUUCCUCUGUGUUCCUCAGGCUAUAGAUGAUGGGGUUUAGUGAGGCUGUCACAGCCCCGUAGAGCAAUGUGAUAAUUUUAUCCACAUCGGGGUCCUGGGCUUUGGGCUUGAAGUACAUGAAGGAAACGGUCCCAUAGAAAACCACCACCACUGUGAGGUGGGCAGAACGGGUGGAGAAGGCUUUGUGCCGGCGUGCAGCAGAGGGCACCCAAAGGAUGGCAACCAGGAUGAAAAUGUAGGACAGUCAGAUGAGCAGGUGGGGUCAGUGUCGAACAGCUGUGGCCACCCUUAGUGUCAGUACGUUGAGGGAGACGCCCCUAUAAGCCAGUUUAAGCACUGCCAAGAUCUCACAGAAGUGGUUGAUGACAUUAUGGCCACACAAAGGGAAGUGCCAGACAGGGAUGGACUGCAGCAGUGAGUUGGCAAAGCCUGUUCCCCAACUCAGCUCUGCCAUCUGCAUGCAUGUCUGCCCACUCAUAAGCUCUAGGUACCUAAGUGGGUGACAGCCACAUAACGGUCAUAUGCCAUCAGAGCCAGGAGUGUGCACUCUGUAGGGCACAGCUCAGGAAGGAGAUGGUCCUUUGGGUUUUCAGGAAGUUAGCACGAAAGGCAUGAAGGAGGAGGUGCCACAGAUGUCUAUGGGGGAAAGGUUGCUGAGAAGCACAUGGGAUUAUAUAGGUGGAGGUCCAGUGUGCUCAUCCGUAUGAGGAGGGAGUUCCCCAGCACAGCCAUACAGUAGAUGCCCAGGCAAAACACAAACAGGGCCACCUCUAGGUUAUGAUGCUCACGAAGCUCCAUCACAGCUGUCCAGUUGGCCCCAUCCAUUUCAUUCUCUAUCCUUUUCCAUGUGGACAACACAGCUUUUAGCUGUGACUGGCAUGGAUGUGUGACCCGCAGCAGCUCAGGCUCGCUCUGUGGCAUUUAGCUUCACCAUCUGUAUAAGGAGAGACUUGGAUUUCAGGUCUGUGGCUGCCCUCUCAGCUCUGCUCUUCUGCUGACGUAACUUGGAGAAGGAUAUUUCAAAUUCUGCUCUUGAGUUCUUCACUGUCCUCCCCAGGGGUUGCUUAGAGGAGACAAUGGAGUAGGAUUCACAUUUGACUCACUUCCUUGGAAUCUCAAGUGUUAUGGGUAUUCAAAGGAUGAAUCUUUUUUAGGUUAGGACUUCAUAUGACUGAAUUAUGCCCAUAUUUCAGAUUCAUUCAUUCACUGACUAUUGAUUGAGUGCCUCUUUUGUGCUAGGUAUUGUUUCAGGUGCUGGGGCUCCACCAGUAAGAAAGAAUAAGUGAACAACAGAUUCUGCACUUAUGCUGCCCCCCUCUUCCUUGACUGAGGAUUGAUUUUAGAUGACCUGAGCAGCUCCUGGGCUCCAUCUGGUGACCAUAGUAUCUAUUAUACAUGGAAUCAGAAGAGACCUAGAAUAGCCAAGGUCAUUGUUAGCUGAGCGUUCUCUUUCUUCUACUUGGGAAACUCCUCCACCCUGACCCUGACUCCAGAUAUUUAUAUGGCUGACUCUUCAGGACUCAAAUCAGAAGUCAUUACUUCAAAAAGACAGUAUCGUUUUCCGUAUGCAUAACUGGUAUGGUGGUGCACACCUAUAAUCUCAGCACUCAGGAGG